GCAGUCGUGGCCGAGUGGUUAAGGCGAUGAACUAGAAAUCCAUUGGGGUCUCCCCACACAGGUUCGAAUCCUGUCGACUGCG